AGGACGAACGCUGGCGGCGUGCUUAACACAUGCAAGUCGAGCGGGCGUAGCAAUACGUCAGCGGCAGACGGGUGAGUAACGCGUGGGAACAUACCUUUUGGUUCGGAACAACACAGGGAAACUUGUGCUAAUACCGGAUAAGCCCUUACGGGGAAAGAUUUAUCGCCGAAAGAUUGGCCCGCGUCUGAUUAGCUAGUUGGUGAGGUAACGGCUCACCAAGGCGACGAUCAGUAGCUGGUCUGAGAGGAUGAUCAGCCACAUUGGGACUGAGACACGGCCCAAACUCCUACGGGAGGCAGCAGUGGGGAAUAUUGGACAAUGGGCGCAAGCCUGAUCCAGCCAUGCCGCGUGAGUGAUGAAGGCCCUAGGGUUGUAAAGCUCUUUUGUGCGGGAAGAUAAUGACGGUACCGCAAGAAUAAGCCCCGGCUAACUUCGCGCCAGCAGCCGC
rnacentral:rRNA from 1 species